AACCUCUGUGUAGGCAUAAAGCAGCGAAAAACACCGAGAAAAUGUUGAGGCGCACCGAGGCACGGGACAGUCAGGUGCAGAGUGGUUACCUGAGGAAUUAACAUUUUGUAUGGGAUGGCACUGGACACUGAACUGCCUUGCACGAAUUUUUACGCUAAUCGAGGAGACCAAAGCUAUAAGAAUGGCGGUGGAAUUAUCAGAAGGACCUUUGAUAAUGCUGCUUCCUGCCUGUCCAAAACAAGAGUGAGCACUCUUACAGCAGGAAAUUCAGUAAUGUAUUCGGGAUUCUCAUUUACCUAACCCAUUUUCUUGGUUGCUUGUUACUGAUACUCCAUAAAGCAAACUCCACCCACAAUAAAAUAGAAUUCUUAGAUAAUUUGAAUAAUAA